AUAACAUCAUCAGCAAUACCAAAAUAAACCCAAUUCAUUCAACAUACAAUACAACAAAUAUGCACCCCACUUCGUUUUCCUUCUUCACGCCAGCAAACAUAGAAAUCUCGGAGAACCGGCAGUUCGAAAGAAAAACUGACCCAACUACCUCAGUCUCAUCAAUCUAGAAUAUACCGAGAAAAGCCGUGUCAUCCACCUUUUCUUGUUGCAGUGGCAACGUCCCUCGUGUUGAAAUCUCCUUGCUCGAUCGUCCUUCGCUCAAAAUUAAUGGCUCCCUUCAAAAAUCCGUUGAGGAUUUGUCCUAUUCUUAAGAUGGCAACCUUUUCUCCUCAAGGGAAUUUUUAGAUUCAUCCAAUCUACCUAUUUUCCCCCAAUUUCUAUCUAUAUAUUCAUCUAUCUCAUUCACUGUUUAAAGGUAGAAAAAUAGGAAGAAAAAUAAGGGGAAACAUACUUCGAUCGACAGAAAAUGAAGUAGAGAAAAAUAGAGUUGAGAGAGAGAGCUCUACCAUUAGACAGAAAAUACGGAAAAAAUAGGGGAGAAAAAGAGAGUAGAAAAAGAAAACAGAGUGUUUGAGUCUUUUCUAUUCGAAUUCGAUGUUUAUUUUAUUUUAUGAAGUGCGUCGAAAUUGGCUCACAGUGGUGGUAGUUCUUCGUGGUUAAGCUCGUCGUCUCAGUUUACUAACCCAAAAAAGUCAAUGGUGGACUUAUUUGUGUGGCAUUUCUGAGUUAAGCCAUAAUGGCUCGACUUUGCCUUCCUAUCUCUAUAGUCAGCCCCGCUAUAUAUUCGGAAGUUGUUACAGGUUCCAUAGCUUCAACAUAAUGUUGUAAGUUAGCUCAAAAUCCCAAGAAAUGGGUUGUAUACAUACUGUAUACUAUACACUGAUAUACAGAUUCAGUGGAAAAAAUAUGUGGCCAAAUACAAAGAUACAGGUUGGAGGCGUCAAAACGGACUGUAUGCAGUUCGAUAUACAGAAAAAGAGUCAAAAAAAUCAAACACUUGGUUUAUACACAGGAUUUCAAGGGUUAAAAUAGGGCCAGAGCCCAAAUCAGCAGCCUUAAAAGCCCAAGUCCAUGACCUCUUCAUUUUUUUUAUUGCAUUUAUUUAUUUGAUUUGAUUUGAUUUGAUUAACUCUAACCAUUUAUUUACUUCGUUAUAAUUUAAUUAAAUUCCCCAUAAGAUAAAUUAUAUUCUUUAUGUUUGUA